CUUGGGAGUUAUAAAUCCCUAUCCCCGUCUCUCGUUUCUCUAUUCUCCGCCUUAAGAGUCCAAACGGCCUUAAGAGUCCAAAAAUAAAUUAGAAAUCUUUGUCCCAGUAUCAGAACCAACGGGUAUGUUAGUGGUGAUGCAAUUAUAGGGGGUUUCUAAAGAAUGAUUUUUCUUGUCGAAUAGGAAGAAGAAGAAUUGAGAUUUCCUCAGAGCAACCAAAAUAUGGUGGAUUCUGCUAAGGCUGCUGAUGUGAAAAUCAUUCCUUAUGAGCAUACGUUCGAUGGUGUUCUCGAGGUGCUUAUGUGACAACGAAACUAUGUUGAACCACCAAACUUUUGUCCUGAUGUCCAGUCCAAUGUGGAGGAGGGCACAGAUGAUCAUAAAGUCAAAGCCAAUGUGGGUGGUGAUAGAAACCGUGCUUUGGAAAUGCACACAAAACCUGAAAUUGAAGAACUUCCUGUCAGAAAGAAGAUGAGGGCGAAAGACACCAUGUG